GGGCAUCCCGGAGGCAGGAAAGGCUUCGGCCGGACAGGGAUGGGCAUGCGGCGCAUUAGGCAGUAGGCGGGGUAACGGCCCACCUAACCGACGAUGCGUAGGGGUUCUGAGAGGAAGGUCCCCCACACUGGUACUGAGACACGGACCAGACUCCUACGGGAGGCAGCAGUGAGGAAUAUUGGUCAAUGGUCGGGAGACUGAACCAGCCAAGCCGCGUGAGGGAGGAAGGUACAGAGUAUCGUAAACCUCUUUUGUCAGGGAACAAAGACUGGGACGCGUCCCCGGAUGAGUGUACCUGAAGAAAAAGCAUCGGCUAACUCCGUGCCAGCAGCCGCGGUAAUACGGAGGAUGCGAGCGUUAUCCGGAUUUAUUGGGUUUAAAGGGUGCGCAGGCGGUCUGUUAAGUCAGCGGUCAAAGCCCGGGGCUCAACCCCGGCCCGCCGUUGAAACUGGCAGUCUCGAGUUGGAGAGAAGUAUGCGGAAUGCGCGGUGUAGCGGUGAAAUGCAUAGAUAUCGCGCAGAACUCCGAUUGCGAAGGCAGCAUGCCGGCUCCACACUGACGCUGAGGCACGAAAGCGUGGGUAUCGAACAGGAUUAGAUACCCUGGUAGUCCACGCAGUAAGCGAUGAAUGCUGGCUGUCCGGGGGGACUGACCCCUGGGUGGCGA
rnacentral:rRNA from 1 species